AUUUUCCGAUCGUAAUAGUUAACUUUCUUUGCGAUCUCAAAAUCAACAGCAAUAAAAUACGACUCUGCGUGGGAUGCGAGCUGUACCACUUCGCUUCGUAAGCUGCAUCGCCGAUCAUUCUGCUCUGCAAUUGAGAACUGCAUCAGAGCUAUAUACGAGAAGACUCUCUCAAUGUCGGACGAGAGAGCUAUAAUCCUCUGAUGUUGACGUAUUAGAGCUUUGAUGGUUGAGGUUUGCAAGUCGAACGUGUCGUCACCUGAGGAGAUUUCUACCAACCCUCGACACAUUAUAUCGAUUUGCCCACCUACGUGAAGAAUCUAAAAAUAACGGUCAACGCCCUGCAGUGUGUUCUUGAUAUUGCCGCAUUCAGUGAAAAAAACAACAACAUGUAAAUACAAUGGUUUAUCAACGAGAGAAUCAACAGCAAAUAAGCAAGAUCUAUUAAAUGUUAAAAGUAAAGUUCUAUAAUAUGA